CAAAGACAAAACCACAAAUUUGGGUGUAGACAACUAUAGUGAUUUUCUGAACGUAUCAGGUUUUUUAGAGGGUUCACUUUCCUGCUCAGUUUCUCUGAGUAGUUGCAGUAAUUUCUGAAGCGUGUAGUCUGUGAUGGUUCACACAUCCUCACGAGAACAAUUCAAAACUCACUUCUCUCCAGCAAGCUCUUUCUGUCCCUUUCUUGGCUGUCUUAUUAGCAACCAACUCCUAACACUGACAUGCUUCAUAACAGUUAAAUUAUGAUAAUAAGCCGAUUACUCCUCGGAGCCAACGAGGGGUUUAUGAGACCAUCUAAGAUGAAAACGAUGCUUUUCAAGCAUUUAUGCCUGUUGAAACCAGUUGAAACCCAUUUGUUUUGACUUCUGCCUUGAGUCCUACAGCUCCUAGAUCUUUUGUCCCUGUGCGUCCUAAGGAGAUUCUUUUCCGAUGAUUUCCAGAAGCAGUUACCAAUCCUGACUGAUUUGACAACACUGGGUCUAUUAAUGUAGGUGAGAACAAUGGUUCAUUUAUUAACAGUAAAGCGUUUUCCUUAAUCUGUCUUUCAGUGGGGUGGGGAGCGUGAAAUGAAGAGAUGGGAAUUUUCAGAGGUAUCUGCUUUAGACCUACUUCCCUGCUGCUGACAGCUGUUUACAUCCUUACGGAGAGCUGGCUUGUCAUCCCUGGUGAUGGAAGGGCCGGGAAAGGGCCAUUAACUGUAACCCCUCAGACGAGAAGCGGCUCUUUGGUAAAGGCUGAGCUGAGUCCCUCAACACAGUGUGCACAUGAGCAGGUGACAGCUUGGAGAAGAUGGAGCUCCCUGGGCCUUGGGCAGCUGCAGCUGUGCUCUUUCUUCAUCAAGACGCCUCUCCAGUUUCUACUCUGGCUUCGUUGGGCUGGAUUCAAAGAGAAUGAGCUCUUACCCUUGUAUCCUCUUAGAGAUAAUAAUAAUUUUUAAUGGAUGUCUUCCACAUACGGCAUUAUAGUAUUUCUCUGAAUAAUACCUGGAGAUACAUGCUGAUACAUACUGAUCAGUCUGUAGUACACUCAUGCUCAUUUUAUCUAGAUGUCUGCUUGUUGACUCAAUGCAAUUUAGAAGGGAAGAGAUGUAAACUGCUGAGUGUGUCUGGAACUGUUUCUAGAGAGUAUUCGCUGGGGAAGGCAAGACCUGUUCUCAGGCAGUCCCUAGGAAAGCAGUGUCCCUUGCCUGCUGUCUUUGCUUUCCUGAGUGUGUCUAUCACUUCAAUUGCUAUUGAACCUUCCAGCAUCAAUUUAAUAUCAGUGACUGUUUGGGGAGGUUCUGAGACUCCAGCACUGGAUUACAAUGGCCAAAUCAUUCAUUUCUCUGAUGCUCCAGCAGGUUGGAGGCCAUUGUUGAUGGUUUAUGUAACACCAACUAUUAAAAAAAGAAACCCUUCUUA
rnacentral:sRNA from 1 species